GACGAACGCUGGCGGCGUGCUUAACACAUGCAAGUCGAACGGAAAGGCCUUUUCGGAGGUACUCGGGUGGCGAACGGGUGAGUAACACGUGGGUGAUCUGCCCUGCACUCUGGGAUAAGCCUGGGAAACUGGGUCUAAUACCGGAUAGGACCGCACUUUAGUGUGUGUGGUGGAAAGUUUUUUCGGUGUAGGAUGAGCCCGCGGCCUAUCAGCUUGUUGGUGGGGUAAUGGCCUACCAAGGCGGCGACGGGUAGCCGGACUGAGAGGUUGGUCGGCCACAUUGGGACUGAGAUACGGCCCAGACUCCUACGGGAGGCAGCAGUGGGGAAUAUUGCACAAUGGGCGCAAGCCUGAUGCAGCGACGCCGCGUGGGGGAUGACGGCCUUCGGGUUGUAAACUCCUUUCGCCAGGGACGAAGCGUUUUGUGACGGUACCUGGAGAAGAAGCACCGGCUAACUACGUGCCAGCAGCCGCGGUAAUACGUAGGGUGCAAGCGUUGUCCGGAAUUACUGGGCGUAAAGAGCUCGUAGGUGGUUUGUCACGUCGUCUGUGAAAUUCCACAGCUUAACUGUGGGCGUGCAGGCGAUACGGGCUGACUUGAGUACUGUAGGGGUAACUGGAAUUCCUGGUGUAGCGGUGAAAUGCGCAGAUAUCAGGAGGAACACCGAUGGCGAAGGCAGGUUACUGGGCAGUUACUGACGCUGAGGAGCGAAAGCAUGGGUAGCAAACAGG
rnacentral:rRNA from 1 species